rnacentral:rRNA from 1 species
GUUGAUGACAGGAUGUCCGGUAGCUGAAUACAUAGGCUACUGAGACGACAACCCGAUGAACUGAAACAUCUUAGUAGUCGGAGGAAAAGAGAAAAAAAAUGAUUAUUAGCCAUAGGUGAUGACUCGUCAUCGCUAGUGGCUAGUAAUCUUGAUUCCCUAAGUAGUGGCGAGCGAAAGGGGACAAGUCUAAACCGGUUAAACUAUGGUUACAAGCAGUUUACUGUGAGUAAUCUGAAGGCCCUAAAGCCAUAUGUUUUUCCGGUGUUGCAAGAUGGUUGUGUCGCAGUUUAGGUAAUGCGGCUAGUUGGCACGAUUUAUUAGUUGAAGUGAGCUGGAAAGCUUUGCCAGAGCAGGUGAUAGCCCUGUAAGCGAAAAUAAAUUGUGGAGCUAGUAUAACUAUUCUUAAGUAGGGCGGGACACGAGAAAUCCCGUUUGAAGCUGGGUCGUCUAUGACCCAAGACUAAAUACUUUUUAAGAUCGAUAGUGAAUAAGUACCGUGAGGGAAAGGUGAAAAGCAUCCCGGUGAGGGAGUUGAAAUAGUACCUGAAACCGUAUACUUACAAGCAGUUGGAGCCUGGAGCAAUCCGGGUGACAGCGUGCCUAUUGAAGAAUGAGCCAACGAGUUUAUUGUAUGUGGCUUGGUUAAUCCGCCUUGAGCGGAGGAGCCGUAGUGAAAGCGAGGGUUAAUAGCCCGUUUGUCGCAUGCAUAAGACCCGAAGCCGUGUGAUCUAGCCAUGACCAGGUUGAAGUUUGUCGAAAGACAGAUGGAGGACCGAACCCAUAAGCUGUGCAAAACUUUGGGAUGAGUCGUGGUUGGCGGAGAAAUUCCAAUCGAACUCGGCAAUAGCUGGUUCUCCUCGAAAUAGCUUUUGGGCUAGCCUCGAGCGCUGACCCUAGGGGGUAGAGCACUGAAUGAGGACGGGUUUUACCGUCCUUAACCAAACUCCGAAUACCUAGGGGUGCAGCUCGGGAGUCAGACAGCGAGCGCUAAGGUCCGUUGUCAAAAGGGAAACAGCCCAGACCGUCAGCUAAGGUCCCUAAAUAUAUGCUAAGUGUAAAAGGUUGUGUCGUGACCUCGACAACUAGGAGGUUGGCUUAGAAGCAGCCAUCCUUUAAAGAAAGCGUAACAGCUCACUAGUCAAGUCGUCUCGCGCCGAAAAUUUACCGGGGCUAAGCAUAUUACCGAAGCUACGGACUCUGCAGCAAUGCAGAUUGGUAGAGGAGCGUUUUUAAGCCACAGAAGCUGUCAUGUGAGUGAUGGUGGAGGCUUAGGAAGUGAGAAUGUUGGCAUAAGUAGCAUGAAGGCGGAUGAAAACCCCGCCCACCGAAAAUCUAAGGGUUCCUGGGCAACGUAAAUCGUCCCAGGGUUAGUCGGUCCUAAGGCGAGGCCAUUGUAAUGGUGGCGUAGUCGAUGGAUGAGCUGGUUAAUAUUCCAGCACUAGCACAAUUUUCCGACGGAGUGACGGACUUCUGCAGUUUGAGGGUGUAUUGGUUUGCACCUUGGUGGCUUAGAGAUCUGACUUAGGUAAAUCCGGGUCAAUAAGAUCGAUGAGUUGCCAGCAGAUAAGGCCUUCGGGCUAAGUCAAUUCAAAUGAAUGAGGUUCCCAGAAAAACUUCUAGGGCUAAGGUUGUGGUAUCCGUACCGUAAACCGACACAGGUAGAUGAGGCGAGAAGCCUAAGGUGAACGAGAGAAACAUCGUUAAGGAACUAGGCAAAAAAGCGGUCGUAAGUUAGCGAUAAGACCUGCCCUGAGCAAUCAGGGCCGCAGCGAAUGACUUUCAAGUGACUGUUUACCAAAAACACAGCUCCCUGCUAAAUCGAAAGAUGAUGUAUAGGGGGUGAUGCCUGGCCAGUGUCCGAACGUUAAGAGGAGAGGUCAUCCUAGUUUACUAGGGGCAGCUUUGAAUUUAAGCGCGGAUGAACGCCGGCCGUAACUAUAACGGUCCUAAGGUAGCGAAAUUCCUUGUCGGGUAAGUUCCGACCUGCACGAAUGGCAUAACAACUUGAAAACUGUCUCAACGAUGUACUCGGCGAAAUUACAAGACCAGUGAAGAUGCUGGUUAACCAUAGCUGGACGAAAAGACCCCAUGAAGCUUUACUAUAGCUUGAUAUUGGAUUAGGGAUAUACAUGUUCAGUAUAGGUGGGAGCCCGCAAGGGCAACAGUGAGAUACCACUCUUGUGUAUUUUUAAUUCUAACUUGUACCCAUGAAUCUGGGUAAAGGACAGUAUCUGGUGGGUAGUUUGUCUGGGGCGGAUGCCUCCUAAAAAGUAACGGAGGCGUUUACAAAGGUUGGCUAUCUCCCGAUGGAAACGGGAGAGAUAGUGUAAAGGCAUAAGCCAGCUUUACUGCAAGACCUGCAAGUCGCGCAGUUGCGAAAGCAGAACUUAGUGAUCCGACCGUGCGGUAUAGUACGGCGGAAGCUCAUCGGAUAAAAGCUACUCUGGGGAUAACAGGCUAGUCACGCCCAAGCGUCCACAGCGACGGCGUGGUUCGGCACCUCGAUGUCGGCUCGUCGCAUCCUGGGGGUGGAGAAGCUCCCAAGGGUUGGGCUGUUCGCCCAUUAAAGCGGCACGCGAGCUGGGUUCAGACCGUCGUAAGACAGGUCGGUCUCCUAUCCACUAUGGUCGUGGAAACUUGAGAAGGCGCUUCCUUAGUACGAGAGGACCGGGAAGCACGAAGCUCUAGUGUACCAGUUGUUCUACCAAGGGCAUUGCUGGGUAGCUACCUUCGGUUAAGAUAAACGCUGAAAGCAUCUAAGCGUGAAGCUGUCUUCAAGAUGAGGUUUCAGAGACUGGUGAGAGACGAUCACCUUGAUAGGCUCUAAGUGUAAGUGCGGCAACGCAUUCAGCUGAGGAGUACUAAUAAGUCAUUUGAUUUUC